UAGGGAAUCUUCGGCAAUGGGGGGAACCCUGACCGAGCAACGCCGCGUGAGUGAAGAAGGUUUUCGGAUCGUAAAGCUCUGUUGUUAAGGAAGAACGAGUGUGAGAAUGGAAAGUUCAUACUGUGACGGUACUUAACCAGAAAGGGACGGCUAACUACGUGCCAGCAGCCGCGGUAAUACGUAGGUCCCGAGCGUUGUCCGGAUUUAUUGGGCGUAAAGCGAGCGCAGGCGGUUAGAUAAGUCUGAAGUUAAAGGCAGUGGCUCAACCAUUGUAGGCUUUGGAAACUGUUUAACUUGAGUGCAGAAGGGGAGAGUGGAAUUCCAUGUGUAGCGGUGAAAUGCGUAGAUAUAUGGAGGAACACCGGUGGCGAAAGCGGCUCUCUGGUCUGUCACUGACGCUGAGGCUCGAAAGCGUGGGGAGCGAACAGG
rnacentral:rRNA from 1 species